CAGUCGCCGCGGUAAAACGUAGGGUGCAAGCGUUAAUCGGAAUUACUGGGCGUAAAGCGUGCGCAGGCGGUUAUAUAAGACAGAUGUGAAAUCCCCGGGCUCAACCUGGGAACUGCAUUUGUGACUGUAUAGCUAGAGUACGGCAGAGGGGGAUGGAAUUCCGCGUGUAGCAGUGAAAUGCGUAGAUAUGCGGAGGAACACCGAUGGCGAAGGCAAUCCCCUGGGCCUGUACUGACGCUCAUGCACGAAAGCGUGGGGAGCAAACAGGAUUAGAUACCCCUGUAGUCCCUGUCUCUUAUAC
rnacentral:rRNA from 1 species